CACGCCGCCUCAUGCGCCGGUGGCCCGAAAGGGCUGAAACGGGAAUGCGCGACGCGCCCUGGCUCUCUCUGAGCCGAGGCACCCAUCCGCAGCUGCCCUCGCAACUGUAGGCGGCCGAUCCGGCCCCCAACGCCAUUGCCGCCCAUGGGCGACGAGAAGGCGGGGGCCGAACCUCGCGAGAGGACGGCCGCGAGCCAGGAGACCGGCCGGCGCAGAGCUGUCUCG
rnacentral:ncRNA from 1 species